CCUACUCCUACAGGCAUUGCAGGUGUGGCUACUGUGGCACAUUUGCACCAGUAGGUGGAAAAGAGGAGAAAGGCUAUGUCGACACUCAGUGUUCUUCCCUAUGAACAAUGAAGGAUUAGAACCCUAACAUU